GCCAGGCAAGGUGGCUCAUGCCUGUAAUCCCAGCUGCUUGGGAGGCUGAGGCAGGACAAUUCUAAAUUUGAGGCCAGCCUGAGCAACUUAGCCAAGAUCCUGUCUCAA
rnacentral:sRNA from 1 species